UUUACGGUGAAGUACGUUCUGUACUAAUUAUAAAUUCGACGUUCCGCAAUAUUUAAAAACGGCGUGCAUCCGCAAUCCGAUUUCAAUAAGUGCAUGUGUGUAUACACCUACUUAGACAGGCGCCUUCAUAUAUACCUCAGGGAUACGUGUCCUUGCGCGCAUAAUUUGCAGUUUAAUGAAAGCGUGACAUUUUUAUUGUAUUUAUUCGGCGAUCAUUUUAUAUGGCUGUUCGCAAAUAAUCGUCUACAUCAGAGUUGGACCCCGAUAUCAAACCUCAAUGGAGGAUUGCCUUCAUCAUCAUCAUGGUUAAACGGUCGCAAGCGCCGUAGCUUUAUUAUUAUAAUACCUAUAAUAUCUUAGAUUUAUUGAUGGGAAGUAGGUAGAGGAUAAUGCCGUUGCGAUAAAUAAGAUAACAUUGUGAAUAUUAUGUAUUACACCAACUUUAGCUAUAUCUAUAUUAAGAAAAGGCUUAUCAUAUAACCUUCAUAUCAAUUACAGCUAUUAAGAAAAGUUUCGUAUGGGGCUAAAUCAAUAUUUUUCUUGAAUCAAAGUUUAUGUGCCGAUAAUACCUGUGAUAAGGCAAGCUUCUUAAAUCAAAUUGAUACACUUGGGGCAGCACCUUCAUAAUACGUGUAAGCAUACGAUUUAAAACAGAUGUGUUAUUAAUUCCUGCAAUCAAAGUGCUAGGAUAUAAAUUUUUAUUACUCUAGUUAGAAUAGUGCUGUUAUAUAAACUCUCACAAAUUUUGUUAAUUUUUCUUGGAUUUAAGUUUAUAUGGUGAUAAUACCCGUGCUAAGGCAGGCUUCUUAAUCCCGAACAGGAUAGAGAUGGACGUUGGGUGGGAGGAGGUGCCUCAAGACUUGUUUACGGGAGAAAGGAAGCUAACUUUAUGUACUGUUAAUAUCUGUGAUACGACACGCUUCUUAAAUCAAAUUGAUACACUUGAGCAGUACCUUCAUAAUACGUGUAAGCGUACGAUUUAAAACAGAUGUGUUAUUAAUUCUAGCAAUCAAAGAUCGAUCUACCUUGUAUAGCUUUGGUUAAAUUAUUAUUGGUUAGAUACACCUCUUUCCAUGACCACCCAGGAGGCAAUAAAUUCGCACUAGAAAUAAUGCAAUUUAUUGGAGAUGUUUACGACCUCGUUAUAGGAUUCCCCAUUAGUUAUUUCUCUACACAGGGUGUAUGAAAAAAUAACUAACAGGCCUUCCUUUUUAAUAGUACUGCAACAAUGAAAUCUUAAAUUUAUACAAGAAUUUUCUAUUUUUAGCUUUAUACAGGGGUAGUUUGCUAAUAACCUUUAGUCUAAGAAUAUUCCUAAAAUAAUAUCCUAAUUAUUUGUAUACAAAUUUCCUAGGAUUUUGACAAUUUUUCUUGGAUUUAAGUUUAUGUGCUGAUAAUAUCUGUGAUAAGGCAAGCUUCUUAAUUCCAAACUAGGAUAGAGAUGCUUCUGGCGCCUUAAGACUUUUUACGAGAGAAAGGAUAACACCGUAUAGCAUUAUGGAUAAAUACCUAACCACUACAUCUUACUAUUUUAGGUAAGAGCUUAGAACACGGAUACAAUCAUAAUCUAUGCAGUGGGGCGGAUAAGAAAAACAGAACAAAAUUUAACAGGUUUAUUAAUUCUGGAAAAAAAAUAUUCAUUGAAGUAUACAUUAUAAUUGAAAUGAUAACACUUACAUAGAACACCCAAUAGGUGUGUUUGAGUUCCAGGUCUUUAAAGACCUGGAACCUCGUUCCCUGGAAGUCAUCUUCCUCAAUCUUUACGGAGCCGGGGAUUGUUCCCCGACCCCGUAAAAUCGCAACAUGUUCCUAAAUAAGAGCUAAUUAAAAUACGGUAUGAUGCAUGAAAAGUACUUACAGAUCCAUAUUUUUCUAUUAGAUGUGUUCGGAGUUCUCGUUCUACAAAUAUAUGGUUAAACGUGUGAUAGAUAUGCGGUGUAUUUACCAUAGGCCGUUUGCACGCCUCCGAAGACGAUGGCCGCACCUUGAGCUGAAAAAUUACAUACAUUAAGUUUGAUGAAAAAUAGAAAAGAGCUCAUUCUUACCCGCCAUCCUCGUAACAAAUGCCUAUCAAACGAUUUCUAGGAGGAGUUUUAUUUAUUGCUAUCCAUUUAGACAGGAAACCUGCACAGAUUGCAUAGCUAUGUGACAAACGAGGUCAUAGGAAGCUUGAUACAAAGGGGGUAUGCAGAUAAACAUUCAAUAAAAAUUUAUAUCCUUCACUCAUCAUAUUCAAUAUCGCCAUACCUGAUAUUAUAUAGGUAAAACAGUUGGUACAGGCCGGUGAUAGAUUUAUAUUAUUAUCGAUCAAAGCACCCUAUUAGUUUUGAAAAUGCGUACGUAUGCUCGUAGGUAGUGUAUUAUUGUAGAAGGAGGUCUACUUUGAAGGUGAUGCGAUAAACUUGAAUACAUACUUUUCGUUUCAUUGACCAAUUCCAUAUACCUUUUGAGUAUUACCUCAACCUAUUCAAAAGCCGGCUGUUUCACUACAUCGACUAUCGUUAUGCCCUAGAGAUGAGUAGAUUUUAAAUUUUGCUAUAACUAAAGUUUAACGAUACCUAUAUUCUAUUAUUUACUCACGAGCUGCCGCCAUUGAUAAUUUCGUAAAGCGUAGCUGAUGAAAUAAUUAGCUUAAGAUUACGACCCAAGGACACCUAUAUAGUUGCAUUGUUUUAAUAGGAAAAGCAUAAAUUCUUUCUAGAAAUUUUGCGGGACAUGAUAGUUAGACUCGAGGAUAUAUAGGUGCAAGACUAACAGGAAACCGUUAGAACUUGUAGGCGUUUAAGCCAAAGGUGUCAUAUUGAUAACAAUAGAACCGAAGAAGCGCGUUAUCUAUAAAAUUGCAUUGGAUGAUGUGACCGCUUUAUACUGAAUAAUACUAUAAUUUUGAUUUUACAUAAUCAGGUAUUUGUGUAAAAGCGCUCCGGAUUUGCCGAAAGAGCUUGCAAUUUAUAAUGGAAAGCAGGUGGCUUAGGUACAACGGCAAGCUACCUGGUUAAUUCAUAACCAUCACGGAAUUAAAUGGGAGCAUGGUCAUACGCCAUCCUACAUGUUUCCAACUAUACUUCGCCAGUUAAUAUCAUCAUCAGACCAAGUAUACGUUCAAGGAAAAGAAAAAGUCGAUUUCAUUCGAAAAACUCUAUCGCAAAAUGUCGCCGAGGUGGAAGAAGAACCAGCUUUACCUAAAUUAGAAGCAUGUUGCUACUAUCAUGUACGCUCACUUUGCUGUUGCGCUUUAUCUAACGUUUAUUAUAUUUAUAAUACUCAUGUAAUUCAGUAAUUUUCCAAAUAAAACAACCAAAUUCAA